rnacentral:rRNA from 1 species
GACGAAGGAUGCAAGCGUUAUCCGGAUUCAUUGGGUUUAAAGGGUAGGUAGGUGGUCUCAUUUGUCAGGGGUGAAAGCCUUGGGCUUAACUCAAGAAGUGCCCCUGAAACGGUGAGACUCGAGUACUGGAGAGGGUCGUGGAAUUCCCGGUGUAGCGGUGAAAUGCGUAGAGAUCGGGAGGAACACCAGAGGCGAAGGCGGCGACCUGGACAGUUACUGACACUGAGGUGCGAAAGCGUGGGGAGCAAACAGG